AUGAGUGCCCCGACAGCCCCGCUUGUUUUCCCCUCCUGUUUCUCUACCUCUCUGUCUCACGAUCUUCCCCUCCCUCUCUCUGUUUUCGCUCACAGGAGACCGCCAUGGCGCCGCUGCAGUUCUCCUGCAGUUGGAUGCAGCAGCUCUGCAUCGAGCGCACGCCCGCGCCGCCGCUGCCGUGUCUGCCUCCCUCCGCUUCCAGCCGUCCCCGCUGCCAUGCGCCUCGUCCGCCUUGCCGGGUUCUUCGCCAGUCCCUCGCCCCGCCUGUGCGUCUCUGCUCCUUCCUCGACGCCGAGCUCGCCAAGCUCCGCCGCCUCGACCUCAGGCCGGCCUCCCUCGCGCCCUCUCUUCCUUUCCCUCCCCCCUUUCUGUCUCACCUCUCUCUGUCUCUCUUCGUCAGGGACAGGAACCAGACGAGCCCAGCUGCGGCCUCGCCGGAGAGCUUCCCCGCGCCCGUCCCAUCGCGCCGCGCCUGUCCAGCCUCUGCUCGAGCUCGUCGACCCUCCGCUUCCCGUGCCUGCCGGCCCUGCCUCAAGUCCCCGCUGCCACGUCGUGCCCUGCGUCUGCCUCGCCCGCUCGUCUCUGUACGCGAGGGGAACGAGCGCCUCGCCCGCGUUGACCUCUCCCCUCGCCAAGCCGCCGAGCCGCCCGAGCACCUCCUCCAGUUCGUCGCCUCGGACGCCGCCUGGUCAAGCUCCGCUCGCUUCCGUCCAUCGCCGGGAGACGCCAGCGCCAAGUUCCCUGUCUGCUUCCUCUGCAUCGAGCGAGGGCAGCGCCCGCGUUGACCGCAUCGCCCGUCACCAGCUACCAGGCCAAGCGCGCCCCUUCGCGGCCUGCCCAGCCUCCUCCCCACCGAACUGGGCUUGGCCCAUGCUUCGGUUUCGUUCCGGAGUUGUGAGGAUUCGUUCGACUACGUCCGUUUGUCUUCGUCAUGGACUCGUUCUUCUUCCUUGCGGGAUCUCAGGCAAGAUGACCAUACCCUCAAAAUCACUUCUAUCUUUGCUUGCUAGUUGUUCGCUCUAUUGCUAUGCCGCGCUACCUACCACUUGCCAUAUCUUUGCUUCCUUGUGGGAGCUAACAACGGCGGACAAAUUUGAAGGGGGACAGCUAGUACAAUCUAUCCUGACAAAAAGCGGUCUUCGCCUGCUAAAGGCUCUGGUGGUGACGCCGUCUUGGGCUCCAUGA
rnacentral:rRNA from 1 species